UACACGUUCAUGUAAACUGGCUGCUUGGGU
rnacentral:piRNA from 1 species